ensembl:lncRNA
CCCAGACUUUAUGAGUCAUGUGGGGCAGCGGGGGCUGCUGGUAAACAUGCAGGUUCCUGAGCCCCACGCCCAAAGACUUUGAUGCUGGGAACCUUCACGUUUAACAAGCCCAGCUGCAGUUGCUGAAGCGCUCACGCUGAGAAAACAGGACCCGAUGGCCUCACAGAGGAUGUGGCUCCGACCCCCAAGACCGAGACUCUGGAACUGAGAGGUAUACCAGUACUCCUCAUCUCUUAGGGUAACAGUCAACCACUUUGGGGCAUGCUUUAGCUCUGGUUUAGAUGGGAAUGACUCAAUAGUAAGUACUGGAGGCAAAGGGAAUGGUACAUUAGCAUCUUAGAAACCAGCAGACUCUUAAGCCUUUGCCUUCAGUCGUUAGGACUUGUUAAAUGAGAUUGAGAUUAACGCAGGUGCACUGUCUCCCUGGCUGUACAGGCAUGUGUGGAGAUGAAAACAAACAGUACUUCCCAUCUCGGGGGGCUUUGUGAUUUUUUAAGUACUUUCCCAUACGUGAUCUCAUCUGACCUUCAAGACAUUGACCAUUGCCUUAAUUUCCCAGAUGGGGAAACUGAGACACACAGGCUCUUUAUUGGCAGACACAGGGAAAGAGCUCAGAUCUCCUGAUUCCUGGUGUAAUGAUUUUUCCAGUGUACCAUGUUGCAGAUAACAGCAUAUUUAUUAAACUAAGGGACUUUAAGAGGAAUAGUAAUAAUUAAGAGGAAUUAUUAACAAUAAGUUUCUCAAACUUCUUACUUAGCCACAACAAUGAUAAAGUUUUAGGGAAGAUUCAGAUUACUACUCUAACGAAAUGAAUGAUAAAAUUUCUAAGCUCUGGGAGUACAGCCUGUGCCAUCCAGUCUUGUGAUCCUGUUCUAGGUACUGGGGUAGAGUGGUGACCGAGACAGAAUAAGGAUCCAGGUUCCCUUUGGGUUGACAGACGAUAAGCAGAUAAAUACAUAAUAAAACUUCAGACAGUGAUGAGUGCAAUAAGAGAAAUAAAGCAGAGUGAAAGCAGAAAGGAGUGGAGGAAGAUAAGGAAUUCAAGGAAGACCUCUCUGUGGAAGCGAGACCAGAGCAGAGACCAGGAAUAAGAGAGUGAGCCCGGUGGCACCCGGGGAAGCACAUUCCACACAGAGGGACCAGCAAGAGCAGCAGGAUGAGUUUAAGUGAGACGACAGAUGUGACAGUCUCGGUCUAUCAAAUCUGGACACCGAAUGUGAACACAAGGACCCUCUGAGGCGACUGCUCCUCACUGGCCUCUUGACCCUCUGAUAACUUGCAAAGAAGUGAGCAGCCACAGAAAGACGAGUACUAAACCUGACAUUUCCAAAGGUGCUGGGGUCCCACCCACGAGCACCACUGCAGGACGAGGCAGAAAGAGAAAGGAAAUACUUCCUUCAUGCAUCUGGUUCGAGCCAGGAGCACCUUACAUUUCAUGAUCUGUUUACUUGUGAGCCUGGGACAUGGCUUCUGUUGGCAGGACUGCCUCUCUCUUCUCAGGGGCCCCAUGAGGCAGUGGUGAGCCACACAGCCUUUGGAAUCCUGGUUCUGUCAUGUACUUGCUGUGUGAGUGCAGGCGCAUUUCUUACCUUUCUGAGCCUCAGUUUCCUCAUCUGUAAAAUAGGGGCAUUUUUAUAGCAACCCACAGGGGUGUUGUGAGAAUGAACAGGGACUAGCAGACAGUAAGAGCACAGUUAUAAACUGCCCACAUUCCAGAUGUCUGCCAUAUAAUAAGUGCUUGAUGUGUUUUGUGGAAUGAAAGCUCUAGAGCAAGGAAAUGCAGCAUGAAGAAUUUCAUACUUUGAGCUGCUACUAUUUCCAGGGGAUGUGCAGUGCUCACAGGGAGGGACACAGCCAUCGUCUUGCAACACCUGUGAGACAGGCAAGAGAGCUAAAUCCCGAAUCUGGCUCCUUGCUCCCGAGUCUGUUCUCAGCUCUUGUACUCAGAUGGAAAACGUGUCAAGCCAUUACCUUGAUCAGAACAGAUCCCGUGCCCGGUCUUUGCCUGAAGCUAGGAAGCAGACCAUUUGCUUCUGGCCUAGCCAUUGGCUCUCUCCCAGCUCCUGUACGGAGAGGACUCCUCUCUGGAGCUGUGUGUGGGCCUUGGACUCACCCCACCCCACCCCACCUCGCGCUUUGUGGCAGCCAUCUCUGUGAUCUGUGGAAAACCGUCUUAGAAUCAGGUGAGCCAAGCAGAAGAUAAAGCAGAGAUGUCAGCAGUUAGCCAGAUGCAAAACAUACCUUAAGUUUGUAUGUUCCAAAGGUGAGACCAGCAGGAACCAUCUUUGUUCACAAUUACCCAUGUAAUUCAGUUGGUUAGAAAAAUGGCAACAGGAAGCUCAUGGUCCUGGAAAGGAGAGGAUUUGAGGGGAAAAGGGGAGAACACCUCAAACAAAAGAACUUGGCCCUUGCGUGGCCACAACCGGCUGAUGGCUGGCUGCGGCUGCGGAGUGGGAGUGCAUUCGGAGUGGCUGGCGGGAGUAUCUGCUGGAUGAGGCCUCGGAAAGAGCCUCCCCAGCGCGCCCCUCCUGGCUGGCUCUAAUUCCAAGCACGCAUCAGCAUUCUGUUUGCUCUCCUGAGACCCGACCCUGGCAUGAAGAAAUAGUGGUGACCUUCAGACCUUGCCCUCGCUCUGUCUGCCUGUAUCUUGUUGUGCAACCUGAUGAAAUGCAGAUCGAUGGAUCUUCCACCUUCUGGCAACCCAGGCCCUGUCUGAGUUGAGAGUGGGGGAAAUGGAGAGUGUUUGUCCUCUGAAAGAUGGGGAGGUGACUGGGAGUGUCCCCUCCCCUCACUUCUACUUCCACUCCUUGGGCACUUUGUCCAGGCAGACCAGACUCAGCCAAGUGACCCAGAACAAGCAGAGUUACUAACCGUUGGUAAAUCAUCGGUUUACCAACCAUUGCUGAAGUGAGCAGCAGAUCUAGGCCAGAGCGGGGUUUUACACUGGAGGUCUCUGACAACGCUGUGCACGUGAACUCAGAGUGAAAGCGAGGUGUGAGGAUGCCCAAACUAAGGGUCCAAAGAGCUGGCUGAUAGUCCUUGGCAGUAAGGCUGUGAGCAAGCGCCAAACUUUCUCAGCAUCUGUUUUUCUUAUCUAUAAAACGAGGAUAAUAAUUCCUGCCACACCUAACUCACAGAGUUCUUAUGAAGCUCACAUUGAGCAGAUUUACAACAUAUGAUAUCAAGCGGUAGAAAGUACAUGGCUUCCCAUAUAUUUCCCUCAGAGGGUGGUUGUGAGGCUCAGUGGACAGUUAACUCAAUGACCAGCACACAGUAGACACUCAAUGAAUAAUUAUAAAUAAUUCUCUUUGUUGCUUGUAAGAAUUCUGUAUAUGCAAAUAUGAUCUUAAACCACAGAGCCAUAUAAAAUGCAAAUUAACUUCCUCUUUGUGUGUGCGCUUGUGUGUGUACAGAUAUAGAAAUAAAUUAAGAUAAAUAUCUAUUUAUAUUUAUUGAUCUGUUAACAGAUAGGGUUAACACAUGGUCCCACUGCCAUCUGUCCCAUCCCAGGCAUAUCUCCCAUCCAGGUGACUUUAGUAAUCCCCCUGCCUUCCUCCUUGCAUUUGGCUCCCCAGUUCAGCCCUACGCACAGUCUCUUCCUAGAACAUCAUUUUCAUCGCAUUGUCCCUGUUGAAGAGCAAUGUCUUUUAUGAGCAUAUGACUUCAGCACUCUACGGAUCGGUCUUGGAAGCAACCUCCCUUCUCUGCUCUCAGGACCAGCUGUCUCUUCUCCAUACCUCUGCUUAUUCCUUCAGCUAUCACUGCCACAUGGAACACUCUUGUCUUUUCUCUCUUCUCUCUUCUUUCUUAAAGUCCAUAUCAACUCCUUCCUUUAGGAAACUUCCUCUGACUUACCCCCCUCCCCAGAUCACUCAGCUUGUAUGGGCUCAGUGUGUGCUCUGUGGUCCAUAGACCAUAGAACCUAUGACUUUCUAAACAUUCCUUAAGCCAAGUGGCAAGGACUGGGUCUUCUGUUUCUUUUGGAUUCCUGGCCAAAAGUGGGAUGUGCUGUACAGAGGAAGCACUUCAGGGAGACUGUCCUUGACGAUGAGGCCCUCACCUAAUUCCAGUUUUCCUUCCUUAUCCAGAGGGGAUAUGUUCCAAGAACCCCAGUGGAUGCCUGAAACCGAGGAUAGUACCACAUCCUAUAUAUACUAUGUUUUUGCCUAUACCUACAUACCUAUGAUAAAGUUUAAUUUAUAAAUUAAGCACAGUAAGAGAUUAACUACUGUUCUAAUAAAAUAGAACAAUUAUAACAAUAUAUUGUCCAAAAAGUUACUGUAGAUCUUAGCAACCUCAGCAUACAAUUUUUUUUCUUUCCUUAUUAAGUCGAGAACUUUCACCUUUUCACCUAAAGGAAGCACUUUAUGGCUUCUCUUUGGCAUAUCUGAAUUUCCACCCUCACUACUCUUGCAGUUUUGGGCCAUUAUUAAGUAAAAUAAGGGUGACUUGAACACAAGAACUGUGACACCACAACAGUCGAUCUGAUAACCCAGAUGGCUACUAAGUGACUAAUGGGCGGGUAGUGUAUACAGCCUGGAUACACCGAACAGAGGGAUGAUUCAUGUCUUGGGCAGGACAGAGCAGGAUGGCACAACAUUUCAUCAUACCACUCAGAAUGGCACACAAUUUAAAACUUAUGAAUCGCUUAUUUCCGGAAUUUUCCAUUGAAUAAUUUUGGACUACUGUAUCUACAUACCUAGGCCUCUCUUUUGCAGCAGAAGCUCCCUGAGGAGCAGUGCCACCCUUCAAUGAAAUGUGCUGUGUCAGAUGCCAGGGUGGGUCCUUACCUGCCACCACACCCAGGGAAAGCUUUCAGCUGGUGCCUGCAGGGGGCAAACCUUGCAUGACUCACAGCUUCCCCACUCAGGUAUAAUCACUCUUGUUCUCCAAUUUGGCAGAGACCUUGCAGCCAAAAGAUACCUAUGUAGGGAGUACGUCAGAGCCUUGGAGCAGUGUCUCUACAGCAAACUGAGAUUUUACUUCUAGUUUCUUUUUCUGUGUAUACCUGUGAACAAAUGCCUGGACUGUGCUCCUCGCACUCUUGUUUGGUUCUAGGCCUGCCCUGGGAGGCUCAGAAUCUAAGACAUCUGACCUGAUGCCAUGCUGCCACCAGUGGGAAGACAGACUCUUAGGAAGAAAGAGCAAUCCUGAGCUUGCUUCAAGGUGCAGAUUUGCCCCCAAGUUUCCCUUCUCUUCUUUGAUUUCUGUUCGCUUGGCAUUUGUAUGUGUGCUCAUCACUGGAGAUAUAAGGUAAAAAGAUCUUGUCUGCCCCGCAGAGUCUCAUCAUCUGGUGGAAUUUCCCACCCUGCUAGUGGGAGGCCUCUAAGAGGGCCUGGGUCUCUGCUCUUCUGUAACCUUAUGGGGCUAAAGACCACUUUGACAAGCAUAUCAAAGCUAUGGAUUCUCCCCCCCCGAAGAAAGGCAUGUGUAUCCAGUAUUUUGCAUAAAAUUCCAGGGGUUUUACAGACCCCAUUAAACUCAUCCACAAACCCCAUAGGUCCUAGCUGGAAAAUACUUUUGCUCCUAAAAAAAAGGAAACAAAAAUGAAAAAACAACCUAAAAUGGAGUACAAAUAGAAACAAAUGAACCUAACUCUUUUUCAAAUGAAUAACAUUACCACACUUAAGAGAGCAUAAACAAACAAAACUAACAAAUAUGGAACUCUGGUUAGAAGGAAUUUUUCCUAUAGUGAUGGGGGCAGCAAUUCUGCAAUACUUUUUGUGUGCUAUCGAACUGAGAAAAUGAGUAAGUACACUGUGGAUAGUGGAGCCAGUGCUUGCUGUUGGAAAAGAGAGUUACAAAUAUGGAGAAAGAGAAGACUAAAUUACCCUUAUGGUAUUGAAUUGGAACUGGAGGUAUCUGUAUGAAUUCAUGGCUGUAUGUGUGUACAGAUAUGGAAAUAAAUUAAGAUAUAAAUUUUUAUCUAUAUUUCUUAGUUCUGUCUGCUGCAGGGCUUAGAAGUGGACACCCAGUAGCACUGUGCACGCUUGACAUUCAGAUCUUGGUUUCUAAAUACCAUUCUCCACUAAAAAAACCAGGGCUCCUUGGAGAAUGGCUGAUUCCAGCACUGCAAGAAGGAAAAUACAAGAUGAGCCUAGAAUAUCAUGCUGUGCCAGAAAGCAAGGAAGUUCUAAAAAGAUAAUGGCAAUAUGUCAAAAGAACAGAGGAAUCAAAGAGGUUCCGGUUGACUAAAUCUGGGGCAAUCUGAACAUCAACAUACAUAAUGAUGGUAAUAUUACCACAGAAUAUUCCUAGAAUAAAAUAGGAAUCUAUGAGCUCAUACUAAUGUAAAUAAACAAAUAGGAAAGAAGGGAUAGCUCUCCCUUAUAGCAAAAAACCAACUAAUAAAUGUAGAAGUUAGAACAUCAUCAUUGUGCAACCAUUAUAGUAAUAAUUGAUUUAGGCAAGAAUUAUCAACGGAUGCUAAAACUAGUGGGUAGAAGUUUGAAGAAGAACAGGAUAUUUACAUAAACUCAAAGCACUUCCCUACAAAUUACUUAUUAACUACAGAGAAAAAAAUUAGUAAUUCAAAGUGGUUAACCUGGGGAAAACAACCAUCGAUAUUUCAUCAAAGUUGACAAUACCAAUAAAGACACAAACUGACCUCGUGCGCCUCCUGAUAUGAUGCCUUGAGAAGGACUCAAUCAUUUCUAGGGUACACCUGCCCAAAUUGCAUAACCUGAAUCUAAUUGUGAGGAACCAUCAAGCAAACCAUAUUGAAGGGCAUCCUACAAAAUAAACGGCCUGCAAUCUUAAAGAAAAAACAAUCCAGUCCAUGAAAGAUAAAGCAAGCCUGAGGACCUGAUCUAGAUGAAAGAAGACUAAAGAGAUCUGAAUAGUAAGUGCAAUGUGUGAUCCUGGGUUGGAUGCUGGAUCAGGAAAAAACUGUCUAUAAAAUAGGACCUUGUUGGAGGAAUUGGUGAAAUUUGAAUAUGAACUGUGGAUCAGAUAAUAAUUUUGUGUCAAUGUUAUAUUUCCUGUUUUUGAUAAAUGUAUUGUGGUUAUGUAACAGAAAGUUCUUGUUCUUAGGAAAUACACACUGAAGUAUUUUGGGGUAAAGGCGGUGUAAAUAGUUCAGAGAAAAUACAUAUGUGGAUAGAUUAGAUAGAGAAAGAUAGAAAGAUAAAAUGAUAAACCACAUGGGACAAAAUGUUAGCAAUUAGAGAAUCUAGGUAAAAAAUAUAUGGGAGUUCUUUGUACUUUUUUGGAUAACUUUUCCAUAAUUGUGAAUUUAUACACAAAUUAAAAGUUAAAAAGUAGAAAAAGUAUUUGCACUAAACUGGAACUCUCAUACCUUGCUGGUGGGAACAUAAAUUGAUGCAACCACUUUGGAAGUGUUUGGUGAUAUCUACUGAGACAACAUAUAUAUCUCUAUAACCCAGCGAGUCCACUCUUAGGUUUUUACCCAACAGAAAAGAGUGCUUAUGUCCACUAAAGGACAAG